rnacentral:lncRNA from 1 species
UCGCUAAGACAUCGCGUCUUAUGCCUACGUAUCUCAUCUGAAAUGAGAAUCAGAGCAAGCCGUAGUUCGGCUAACUACGGGGUUAAGGAUUAUGCUUUGGGGGCGCACGACGUUACUACACAAUCUACCGGAUGCUCGACCUUUGGAGACUUACUCACGUGUAGUAGAAGGAGUAAACGUGUGUUUAGGAGAAGAAAAAU